rnacentral:rRNA from 1 species
GAUGAACGCUGGCGGCGUGCCUAACACAUGCAAGUCGAGCGAAAAGACGAGGAGAUUGUUCUUUUGACGUUAGCGGGGGACGGGCGAGUAAGACGUGCAUAACCAACUUAUAAUACUGGGAGAAUAACGGAAAACAGGAGACAAUAAUGGCUAAUAUAUUCAACCGCAUGGUUCAAUAGAGCAUGGCGGCUUUGCUGUCUGAUUUAGCUGGAUCCGCGCCGCAUUAUCUAGUUGGUAAGGUAACGGCCAACCAAGGCAACGAUGCGUAGCCGACCUGAGAGGGUGAUCAGCCACACUGGAACUGAGACACGGUCCAGACUCCUACGGGAGGCAGCAGUAGGGAAUCUUCGGCAAUGGGCGAAAGCCUGAUGCAGCAACGCCGCGUGGGUGAUGAAGGUCUUCGGAUCGUAAAGCUCUGUUAUUAGGAAAGAACAGAUGUGUAAGUAACCAUGGACGUCUUGACGGUACCUAAUCAAAAAGCCACGGCUAACUACGUG